rnacentral:rRNA from 1 species
AGCGAACGCUGGCGGCAGGCCUAACACAUGCAAGUCGAACGAACUCUUCGGAGUUAGUGGCGGACGGUUGAGUAACACGUGGGAACGUGCCCUUUGGUUCGGAAUAACUCAGGGAAACUUGUGCUAAUACCGAAUGUGCCCUUCUGGGGAAAGAUUUAUCGCCAUUAGAGCGGCCCGCGUCUGAUUAGCUAGUUGGUGAGGUAACGGCUCACCAAGGCGACGAUCAGUAGCUGGUCUGAGAGGAUGACCAGCCACACUGGGACUGAGACACGGCCCAGACUCCUACGGGAGGCAGCAGUGGGGAAUCUUGCGCAAUGGGCGAAAGCCUGACGCAGUCAUGCCGCGUGAAUGAUGAAGGUCUUAGGAUUGUAAAAUUCUUUCAACGGGGACGAUAAUGACGGUACCCGGAGAAGAAGCCCCGGCUAACUUCGUG